GCCUAGCUCAGUCGGUUAGAGCAUCGUGCUAAUAACGCGAGGGUCGCAGGUUCGAGCCCUGCAUCGACC
rnacentral:tRNA from 1 species